rnacentral:rRNA from 1 species
UUAGAGUUUGGAAUCUGGCUCUAGACGGAUGGGCCGCGGCGUGCCUAAUACAUGCAAGUCGACCUCUUAUUUCCUCGUGAGUGGGUGCCCUCAAUUAGAAAGAGGAGUGGGGGACGAGUGAGUAACGGGUGAGUAACCUACCCAUCAGAGGGGGAUAACGGGGGGAAAACAGGUGGUAAUGGCGCAUAACAGUUUAUACCGCAUGGCAUACGAAGGAAAGGCCCUUUCGGCUUUCGCUGAUGGAUGGACCCCAGGUGCAUUAAGUAGUUGGUGAGGUAACGGCUCACCAAGGCCGCGAUUCAUAACCGGCUUGAGAGGGAGAUCGACCCCCCUGGGAAUGAGACCCGGCCCCAACUCCUUCGGGAGGCAACCAUAGGGAAUUUUCGGCAAUUGGGGACAGUCUGGACGAACCCCUCCGCGUGAGAGAAAAAGGUCUUUGGGUUGUAAAAGUCUGUUGUUAGAGAAGAACAAGGUCGUUAGUAAUUGAACCUCCCCUGGCGGUAUCUAACCAGAAARCCACGGCUAACUUCGUUCCAACAACCGCGGUAAUUCGUAGGUGGCCAGCGUUGUCCGGAUUUAUUGGGCGUAAAACGACCGCCGGCGGUUUUUUAAGUUUGAUGUGAAAACCCCCGGCUCAACCGGGGAGGGUCAAUGGAAACUGGGAGACUUGAGUUCAGAAGAGGAGAGGGGAAUUCCAUGUGUAACGGUGAAAAGCGUAGAUAUUUGGAGGAACUCCAGUGGCGAAGGCGGCUCUCUGGUCCGUAACUGGCCCUGAGGCUCGAAAACGUGGGGAGCAAACAGGAUUAGAUUCCCUGGUAGUCCCCGCCGUAAACGAUGAGUGCUAAGUGUUGGAGGGUCUCCGCCCUUCAGUGCUGCAGCUAACGCAUAAGCACUCCGCCCUG